UGCUCUGUAAAGUCAAACAGGUCUAUUAAUUAGUCAGAAAAACAACUGAAGAUUAUAUACAUUAGUUUGUCUUACUGUGGAAAUUUCUCAUUUUGGCAGUAAACCUGGAGUGAAAAAGUAAAAUGUGAUAACCUUAAGCAAUUUGGAGUCUUAAAAGUCCUACUCCCUGCUAGAGAAUCAUACUUUUCUGCUUGCUAUUUAUAUUGGGUGAAGUUGACAAUACUUCAUAACCAUUCCAACUCAAUAAAAAAUAUUAAUACAUCUGAUAUACUGCAGAUUUCCAUGGGAAAAAAUAUGAACAGCAGUCUUCAGCAAUUAUUGUUUAUCUGUUUAUCCUUCUCCAAAUGCAUUUUCUGUAAUUUCAACAGCAAUGAAUCAUAUAUUAUUAAAAUUGUAAAUGCUAUCAAAUAAAGAUCUGAACUUAGAAUGGCUGAUUUUAAAUUGACCACUGUCUAAAUUUUGGUAACCAUUAUAUUUUUCAAUCUAACUUUCCCCAUCUGCAAAACAAAUAACUAUUUACCUGAUUUUUUUUUUUUUGACAAAAAAUGCUCAAAACUAUGAUAUAAAUUAAAAUGCUAUGGAAAUUAUUCAAAUCAGUCAAUUUCCAUGAUAAUUUUUGUAUAUGUUUGAAAUCAGUUAAAACAAUGGGAUCCAAAUGGUCUACAUUUCAGUUUAUCUACUUAGAUUUUUAGAUCAUGUUUUUAAAAGCCUUUAUAUCUUAUGACUGUUACAGGAUACAUAUAAUUCAACUGCUUGCCUGAAUUCUAUUGUAUUUGUUUCAUUAGCAUCUGAACACAACACACUUCUUGAAAGAUAAAACUGAAAGUCAAUUGAGGACAAGGGAAGUUAAAAAAAACAAAACAGGAAAUUCUGCUCAAUAAAAGAUGGACCAGAAAAUAGCUCCUAUGCUAGCAACCCUCAUGCUCCAGAACAUGCUCCUGUGGAGGUACUUUCACUACGAUUUUCUUAACAUUGCAAAAGACUCAGACAAUUCUGUUUUAACAUCCUUUUGAGGUUUAAUGAUAGUUGCAGUCAUGUAUAUGAUAUUAUAUACUUUUAUGUGUCAUUUAUUCAGAGUAGUCUUUUGUUCUCCUUUCUUGACUCAUUGAUAUGCACCACCAAGAGAAUAAUGGUUGCUAAUUGCUAAUAAAUAAUGCAGCUAUUGCUAAUAAAUAAUCUUGUCAAUAUCUGAUGAAAGUGGACUGUUACAAAAAACACGUCAAAAUAAAUUUAUAAUAUUUAUAAUGUUUCAAGA